CAGACGAAUGCACAGCUCUUGCGGUGAGAAGUGCCCUAAGCCAGAUACCGAACAGAACGCUCCAAAACCGAGACGUAUUUGACCUCGGCAGCGGGCUGAAAUCGUCUCACCUAUCCCAGUCUGGUAGGCGCUGCUCCGGUCAUGCGCGUCCGUCGUUUGGUGAUUCGGAGCCGUUCAGGAAAUGCAGACACGAAAGACGCGUUCAACGGUCGCCGGUCGUGUGAGGUAAAAAUAUUUGGGAGGAAUGGCACAAUCUGUGCAGCGAGGCAGUAGUGCGAGGGUGAGGCAAACGGAUGUAAUAGUGUCCACGAACAUCAUCUCAGCUGCACUGCAAGGUGAUGUUAGUCAUUACAAAAGUCUCGACAAAGAAUCUAUCCACGGCGAUUAAGAGUGUGCUGACGCGACACGAAUGUAGCAUGGUCUUGUGGAAUGACAGCCAUUUUGGAUUGACCGAAGUGACGAGGAACAACACUGGUUACUACCGCCUGAGGUUGAAGGCUUCGUGUUAACUGGAUUAUGUACGAGAGCCUUGUGUAUAAUGCUUUUGCGCACUGCCGAAUCGGUGUACUGGCUGUGGGGCAGCGCAGCUAAAAACCAGAGAAGAAUCAGAUUGUGUCAAGACAACGGCACACACAGAAGCGUAGCACUGACGUUGCGUCGCGUUUCCUCCAUAUCAGGCGACACACCGGCGCUUUAAUCAAAUUCAUGGCCUAACAGGAAGGACAGUAGCGGGCCGGCGGACAAGAACACGACGAGGAGUAAGAGUGCGACGAUCGAUAAAGAAUUUUUGAGGCUUUCUGUUCGAUGUAGUUCCAAGGUUCUCCGAUGUUUGGUUCGUUCUGUUUGAAACGACGAGCAUGUUUUCUCUUCAGGGUAACGCAUUGCAGCAAGAAAACCACAGACGCGCGCGUUCGUUUUCUUCUGCUGCAACGACCGAGGCAAGAGCUUGCGUCUUCUACCUCUUGUUUCGAAACGGAUUCUGUGAGCACGUCCCCGAACAAGAAUAUGUUG
rnacentral:lncRNA from 1 species